GAAAUGCGAUAAGUAAUGCGAAUUGCAGAAUUUCCGUGAGUCAUCGAAUCUUUGAACGCACAUUGCGCCCAUUGGUAUUCCGAUGGGCAUGCCUGUUCGAGCGUCAUUUCAACCCUCAGAACCCCUUGCGGGAUCUGGCGUUGGGGAUUGGCAUCCAGCCAGCCCCGAAAUCUAGUGGCGGUCCCUCCGCGACCUCCCCUGUGCAGUAGCGAUACCUCGCAGCGGGACAGCGGUCUGACCACGCCGUAAAACCCCCAACUUCCCAAGGUUGACCUCGAAUCAGGUAGGAAUACCCGCUGAACUUAAGC
rnacentral:misc_RNA from 1 species